rnacentral:lncRNA from 1 species
GUCAGUAAUUUCUCCCCUAGCAAGAAUGAGGAAGAUGAAGAGCUCGGGUAUCUGAGGGCUGGUGUGUCUGCAUGCGUGUGUGUUUUGGGGGCCGACUGAAGGAAGAGAAGGCUGGAGAGAGGGAACAUGGGUCUGAGGGCACAUCGCUAAGGGGUCAAGAGGCCUAAAGGAGGAGUCUAAGGCUCUCCAUCGAACUUGGACUUGGUCUACAUUAGACUUUAACCUCCAUGAGGCUUGGACUUUCAGGCUUCCUCCCUCACACCGCGGGCAGGUGAGGCGUCUGCUACAGGCCUGGUCUCGCAGAGGGGGCCCAGCGCCCCCCGCCGCCGCCUUCUCCUGGAGUCUGUGUGACAGAAUGGGACCUGUGGGAAAGCAGCACGUCAGCACCCAGCCCCGCUUGCGCGCCAGCAGCUAAUUAAAGCCAGGAAGGUGAUGGCGAUUUUCAACUCAUUCCCGUUACAAACAGCCGACCUUCCUACCGAGUUCAAGUACCUUCUGCCUGGCCUGGAAGAACAAUAUCUCUCUGUCUCCCUCUUCCACUGGCCCUCACCUGCCUUCCCCUGAACAUGCAUUUUGCCUGACAGGAGACAGAGGCAGUUGGUAAGUAUACUACGCUGGCUUAGUGCUUUCCAGAAGGGAGGUGGCGUGAAAGACCCCAGUGCUCAAGUGUUCACGACGGACUCACACAGGCUGGAGACAGACGCCUCCAUCCUCCUGCACACAGUCCUGUGCCUGCUUCUGCAGUGACUCCCUCUCCCUCUGUGGAAACACAUGAGGAAUACAGGAAUAAGGGUUAUCUUCUACUGAAGCCUGCCUAGUGUUUAUUACAGGUAAUUUUCAACUAUGAUCAAAUCUCCAACGUUAUUAGCUUGGUUAAUGUUCAGCAGAAACAAACAACCUUUCCAACUUUAUCUGCCUCCCUUCCCCUUUACAAAUCUGCACAUCCUUCAAAACGGUCGCUUUAGACUUCCCAGACAGCCUACUUUUGUUCCCAUCUCCUGGCUGUUCACACCUGUAAUUUUCCUGCAUUGAGUCUGCUCCUCCUGACUCUGUUCUGUCCAGCUCAGUUCAGUCUACUUUCAAGGUCCACUUCCUCCUGAAACCUUCCUGGAUUGCCCCCAGCCUAUAGUACUCUC